CAAAUAGAUAUUUACACACCCAUGUUCACAACAGCACUAUUCACGAUAGACAAAAGGUGGAAGCAACCUCAGUGGCCAUCAAUGGAUGAAUGGAUGAACAAAACAUGGUCUAUACAUACAAUGGAAUAUUCAGUCUUAGAAAGGAGGGAAAUCUGGCCGGGCGCAGUGGCUCACGCCUGUAAUCCUAAUACUUUCGGAGGCCUAGGUGGGCAGAUCACUUAAGGUCGGGAGUUUAAGAUCAGCCUAGCCAACAUGGUGAAACCCCGUCUCUACUAAAAAUACAAAAAUGGGGCCUGCAGCAGCAGUUGAGAACGCCCCCAGGGCCGCUGGGCUCCUCCAGGACACACCUGGGGGAAACAAUCAAGUGCCAAGGGGAGCCUGGAAGAGAACAGGUGAGACGUCUGGAGUCCCACAGUGGGAAAAUAGAACAGGAGAAAGCUUCUCUUGAAGUGCUCACUGUACAUCAGGAACACUGCUCCCAUGACAGUGCCCUCGGGGUGGGAGGGGGUGCUGCAUUUCUGGCGACAGAGGGUGAGAGAUUGUAACUCAUAGUGGCCUCACAGGGCGAGGA
rnacentral:lncRNA from 1 species